GUCGACCAACAGCAAAAAACAGGAUGACGAGUCCAUUUCCCAUCUCUAUGCAGCAACCAAUAUGGCUCAGGGUUGUAAAAGAAAUUUGAGGCUGACCAGGAUCCUGAAGUGAAGAGCAGUCCCUCUCCCAUUUAACAGCGUUCAUGAGCAGAAAGUGCGGCUUUGACCUCUUGAGUUUGAAUUGACAGGAAGCAGAGAUAGCCACCUCUGAAGGUCAGUCUGGAGUGUUUUCUGCUGCAUUCAGAAAGUAUGGGGUGUAUAGUAGUUGUAAGUAGCGUUACAAAGGUGUUUCUUAGUCUUAGGUUUAGUUUGUAUAG